GAGGAGGUCUUCUUGUUCAUCUCGUUUGUAGCGCUGAACCUUCUCUGUUGUUGGAACACAUAUUAUUUGGUAUCUCCAGGGAAAUUAGAUACACAUUUUGGAGUUGUCAAGAGAGUAUGAUUUGGUCACUAAGGAGAAAUCCUUGUCUCUAUAAUCCGCUCGUGACCUUGGAAACAUCAAGACAUGAAGGUGAUCCUGGCUUCUCAAAGAAGCAGCUCUUGAAUUGCCUCCAAAAGUUAUGCAUGGAAUCGGUACAAUCUGAAACAAUUGCUUGUAUCAACAAAAUCAAAGAUCUAGGUAUUUAAAGUAUCAUUACAUUAAAAACAUUAAAGACACCCUCAAGUUUCAUUAAAAGCAAUAAAAAAUUCA